rnacentral:rRNA from 1 species
UGGGGAAUAUUGCACAAUGGGCGCAAGCCUGAUGCAGCGACGCCGCGUGGGGGAUGACGGCCUUCGGGUUGUAAACCUCUUUCAGUAUCGGCGAAGCUCCAAGGUUUUCUUUGGGGUGACGGUAGGUACAGAAGAAGCACCGGCCAACUACGUGCCAGCAGCCGCGGUAAUACGUAGGGUGCGAGCGUUGUCCGGAAUUACUGGGCGUAAAGAGCUCGUAGGUGGUUUGUCACGUUGUCCGUGAAAAACUCACAGCUUAACUGUGGGCGUGCGGGCGAUACGGGCAGACUGGAGUACUGUAGGGGAGACUGGAAUUCCUGGUGUAGCGGUGGAAUGCGCAGAUAUCAGGAGGAACACCGGUGGCGAAGGCGGGUCUCUGGGCAGUAACUGACGCUGAGGAGCGAAAGCGUGGGGAGCGAAACAGGAUUAGAUACCCUGGUAAGUCCACGCCGUAAAACGGUGGGUACUAGGUGUGGGGUUUCCUUCCUUUAGGGGAAUCCGUGCCGUAGCUAACGCAUUAA